UAUAUUAUUGUUUAAAAUACUGUCAAGGCAUAACUACUCAUAUUCAUUUUUGUCCGUUUACUGGCGUGCAGUAUGGAAAACACACACCGUUCAACUCGUCAUGUCAAACAAUAAAAACUAUAAACGUGGCCGUUUCAAUGUUUGUAGGCGUGGGGUGUUUUUAAAUCAUGCAAUGAAAAGGACGGCCUAACCUCACUCCUAACCUUACUGUGACCUGAGCCAAACAGGUCCUGCAGAGACCUUUUAGAUGAGCAAAAUCUGCACAGAACUGAUCACCGGUGAUCACCGCGAGAUGCAUGCCGGUUAGAAAAGUGUCCGAGUUACAUCCGACUUGCUCUGAUGUCAUGCUGACGUGUGCCAAAAAACUCUGGCGACGGAUUGAGCAGUUGCGCGCAGUUGCUCUCCACUGACUGCGCUGAUCAAAAGCAUGAUAGGAAACGACUGACUGACGACAAAGUUUAAUUCUUAUUGGUUCAGACAACCGUGAUGCUGUGUUAUCUUCUAAAAUGUUUUUUUUUUUUAUCUGGUUUCAUGUGUUUAUGUAUUUAAAUUAUGCAUGAAUAUUCCCAAACACUAUAUCAGUGCUAUCUCUGUGUGAGAUAUGUGAUUGUUGUCAUAUUUCUAUAAAAAUCUAAAAUACAUGUUUGAAUUAAAAUAAAAAUGAAUGAUAAAUAUGCCUUUCGUAUGGAAUUAAAUAGCAAGCACUUUGAGUGUCUUGUUCAUCAUAUUUAUUUUCAUAUAAAAGCAACAGAACUGAAAUUAUAUCAUGUUAAUCAGCAACACAGCACAUCAGUGAGAAUAAGGUGAUAUCUGCCUUUUGAUCUCGUAGACUCAAGAGGUCAGAACGUCUUGACUGUGCUUUUUUCACUCCUCCCCUCACUGCAGCCGUCUACUGUCGCCUACAUUUCAGGCAAGGCGAGGCGCAACUCAAACAAGCCUCUUGUGUGCGAUGCCAAGUUUUCCAGUGGAAUUGGGCUACUUUAACACUGUUACCACGGGUUGUUUUUCAUGUCCGCAGGUUUAAGCGACCCCAAUAGCGUGAUAUUUAUCCCCUAAAAUGCAAAUUUUACCUGGGGAACCCUGCCAAAAAAAAUUGUAUUACCCCACCAGAAGGCGAUUUUGUACCGGGGGAUUCCCCUCGAAACGCAAUUGGGCUAGUUUUGGGUUAGUGUUAAGUAGCAAUUGGGCUGGUUUUGUUGUGAAAACCUGGCAACCCUGGUGCGUUGCCUGUUUUAGCCAAUGUGUGGUGCCAAUAACUCUGUUUACAUUCAGUCACGCUUUCCCAUCGGAACAACUACCUUAAUUUUUGUGCCAGCACGGGAUUAAAUGCUGCGUUUUCGUCUCCACUGGCAGCAGUGUUUAAAGCAAAGAUGGUGGCGGCCUUCAUUUACAUCAAAGAAGGACAACAACAAUCCACAACACGUAGAGGGACCAAGAAGCAGAAUGAAUUGGAGUUGUACCCGUUGGUCUGUCCAAACCCUUUUGUGUGGAAGACUUGCAAUGGAGUGAUUAUAUUAAUUGGAUUUAUUGAUGCUGUGUUUUAUACAAAGAUUUAUAGUAUAAUGAUAGUGUCUAUUGUGGAUUAUACAAGCAUUGUGAGAAGAGUUUUAUGUUCUUAAUGAUUUGAGUUGUCUAGCAGGGUAUUAUGGGCUUUGCCUUUUAAAAAAAAAAAAUAAUAAUAAUAAUUUUACUUAUGUUUUUGAAUGGAAUGAGUUUAAAUAUUUAAUUAUUUCAUAUUUUACUAUGUGUUAGAACCUAGUGAUACUUUUAAGAAAUGUAUGUUGGUAUUGCUGUAUUAAGUUUGUAAGACUGGUGUUAUUUACAACAGAAACUUUAUUGCAUUACAUGAAAAUAGAGGGGGGACUAAUUAAUAUUGAUUAUCUGUAAUAAAUUAAUUUUUGUGAGUGUGACAUAUUUACAUGAUACACUAUAAUUAACAGCCUUAAAACAUCACAGAUAAAAAAAAAAUGGUCAUAGCUUAAUGUAAAAUUACAGCUGUAAGCCUUAAUCAUGAUACCAUAUGUAUGUUAUAUUUCAAAUCAUUGCAACUCAUUUUUACAAGUGAAACAUUUAAACUCAGGGUGGAAUUUUUAAAAUAAAGUGCCGUACAUGUAAUUCAAAAUUAUGGUCCAUUUCAGUUCAUUUCUUAAAAUAUUGGCUGACACAAGUUAUUUCAAUUUCAAUACAGUCGAAAUCUGUUAAACAAUGAUUUAAACUUUAUUUCAGUUUAUAGUCAAAACAUGCUUUCUUAAGUA